rnacentral:lncRNA from 1 species
AAAACCCGAUACGGAAGUUGAGAUGCCACUAAUAAGUAACGACGAUGUUCCACUGGUUGCUAAGUUGGAUACUAAAAAUUUGAAUAAGGCAAUAAAGACAUACAUUAAUAAAACUAUGGAAAAGAGUGUUAUGGAAAAUUUUUCCGAAUUGAAAUUGGAUAUACUGUCUAAAAUUAAAACAGGUAAUUAUGAAUAUCGUUAGUGCUUUAGUAUGAUACGAC